rnacentral:rRNA from 1 species
GGUGGGCGUCGACCGGCGCACGGUGAGUAACGCGUAUCCAACCUGCCCACCACUUGGGGAUAACCUUGCGAAAGUAAGACUAAUACCCAAUGAUAUCCCACGAAGGCAUCCGAAUGGGAUUAAAGAUUUAUCGGUGAUGGAUGGGGAUGCGUCUGAUUAGCUUGUUGGCGGGGUAACGGCCCACCAAGGCAACGAUCAGUAGGGGUUCUGAGAGGAAGGUCCCCCACAUUGGAACUGAGACACGGUCCAAACUCCUACGGGAGGCAGCAGUGAGGAAUAUUGGUCAAUGGGCGGAAGCCUGAACCAGCCAAGUAGCGUGCAGGACGACGGCCCUAUGGGUUGUAAACUGCUUUUAUAAGGGUAUAAAGUGGGUCACGUGUGACUUUUUGCAUGUACCUUAUGAAUAAGGACCGGCUAAUUCCGUG